GUGCUAUGCAGAGAAGGAGCCAGCUGCUGCCAUUCACAACACUGCUUCAGAUGGCUGUCUGGAGGGGUCAUGGAAUGCCAACAGUAAGGCGGACCUCUGGAUGAGUAGGCACUGAGAAAACCAUAAGCAAUCAGCCUAGGAAAAUGCACUGCUUCCAUUACGAAAAUGGAAUUCCAGUAUUCUCUAGGCAGUCGUGUUUUAAGUGAAGAAACUGAAAAUGUACUCUAUUUGAGCGGUAUCUUUGGUUGCAUUCCAAGCACCAGGAAAGCCACAAUCAAACCAUAUUUACUCAACUAGUUUAGCAAACUCGUCCACAAAUUACCCAUGGCUUGAGGAUAUGGAUUUGAAAACCAUGAAACACUUUUGACAUCUCAGGUUCAACUUCUUAACUGGCACACUGGGAUAUGCUGGCAUCUGAAUGUAAUUAUAGAUCAACACUCAUUGACAAGAGAUAGGAAUGAAGAAAACUGACAGGCACUUGAAAGGAAGGAUCCAGAUAUCCAAAGACAGAGGUACAGAUUGUCUUAGGAAAAGAGAAGAACAAUUGGAAAUAUCAGAAAACAAGAACAAGAAAAAAAAAAAAAAAAGAAAACUGGCUUUCUCAGAUGACCAAA